rnacentral:rRNA from 1 species
GAUGAACGCUGGCGGCGUGCCUAAUACAUGCAAGUCGAGCGAACAGACGAGGAGCUUGCUCCUCUGACGUUAGCGGCGGACGGGUGAGUAACACGUGAUAACCUACCUAUAAGACUGGGAUAACUUCGGGAAACCGGAGCUAAUACCGGAUAAUAUAUUGAACCGCAUGGGUCAAUAGUGAAAGACGGUUUUGCUGUCAAUUAUAGAUGGAUCCGCGCCGCAUUAGCUAGUUGGUAAGGUAACGGCUUACCAAGGCAACGAUGCGUAGCCGACCUGAGAGGGUGAUCGGCCACACUGGAACUGAGACACGGUCCAGACUCCUACGGGAGGCAGCAGUAGGGAAUCUUCCGCAAUGGGCGAAAGCCUGACGGAGCAACGCCGCGUGAGUGAUGAAGGUCUUCGGAUCGUAAAACUCUGUUAUUAGGGAAGAACAAAUGUGUAAGUAACUAUGCACGUCUUGACGGUACCUAAUCAGAAAGCCACGGCUAACUACGUG